UUGAAUCAAAAUAAAAUUUUAUUUUAUAAAUUGAUGGUUUAAAUAAUUUAUUUAAUUAAAAUUAAAUAAGUGUUCAAAUCCAUCGUACUAAAAUUCGGUAUCCUAAUUCCUAAAAUGAUGUAUUCCAAAAACCAUACACUCUCCAUUUAUUUUAAAAUAUAUUUAUAACAUACAAAAAAACAACAUACAAAUUAAGGCCCUCAAUGUUUGGCAGUUACCUUUUUCUUUUCACGUGGGUGGUUGGGUGGAAGAAUGGAAGGCUUAGAAAGAAUAAGGG
rnacentral:lncRNA from 1 species